GGCAGUGUGGCAUAGUGGUUUGAGUACUGGGCUGUGACUCUGGAAACCAGGGUUCAAUUCCCCACUAGACCA